rnacentral:rRNA from 1 species
UACGUAGGUGGCAAGCGUUGUCCGGAAUUAUUGGGCGUAAAGCGCGCGCAGGCGGUCCUUUAAGUCUGAUGUGAAAGCCCACGGCUCAACCGUGGAGGGUCAUUGGAAACUGGGGGACUUGAGUACAGAAGAGAAGAGUGGAAUUCCACGUGUAGCGGUGAAAUGCGUAGAUAUCUGGAGGAACACCGGUGGCGAAGGCGGCAUCCUGGACCGGUAUUGACGCUGAUGCGCGAAAGCCAGGGGAGCAAACGGG